CGCUCGUCGCCGCGUGGUGCGUCGAGGUGGAGGGCAGGGGGGCGGUGGUGUCCGUCACCGCCUGGUCCGGGUGUCAGUUCCCGCGAUUGCGCUCCUCCUCCUCCGCCGCCGUGUAAGAUUGUCUUCUUCGGAUCGACCCGCCCCUCCGUGGCAAUGUGUAGAGCCUCUCCUCCUCUCGCGUCUGGUGCGGCAAUUCGUCCUCGAUUCCUGCCUCUCCUCCUCUGGCCUCGCUCGGUUCGUCCGCUUAGUUUAGAAGAAUCGCGUCUGAUUUGUUCCAUUUUGCUCGUCCUCGGUUCGUCUAUUCUGAUUGAAAAAUUGCGUCUGGUUUGAUUGAUUUUGCUCGUCCUCGCCGUCGGCGUCAGUUUACAGUCGCGUGUGAUUUUAUUUUUUCUCGUCCUCGCCGUCAUCAUCAGUUUAGAGUCGCGUGUGAUUUUAUUUUGCUCGUCCUCGCCGUCGCCCUGAUGCUCUCUCGUGUUCUUGGGGCCGUCUCGUCCGGGGGUCUUCGUUCCUGCGAGUCUCGGAGAAAGCAAGCGAGCGGUCGGUCGGUUUGGGUCACUCUCUGCUUGAGAAACUUGUGUGUUCGCUUCUGUUAUCUGCCUGCAUUUCGUGUUCGUAUCUGGGCGAUGGUUGCAAUAAUGAGCGGUUCUGGUUUCAAAAUUGUAGCAGUGUCAAAUCGCUCCCUCUGUUUCAUCACCUGUGUUGUUCGUCGGUUGUUUUCAUAUGCCAAACGCAUGCGCCCUUGUGAUACUCUGGUUGCCCUCUGUCGAUUCUUGUUCUACCGGUAGGUGUGUGUGCUCCCAUCCUAGAUGCAGAGAAUCUUAGUUCUUGUCUGUUACAGCUGUUCUGAUGCUGUUAUUUUCAAUUGUUUAUUGUUACAUCAUGCUCUGCUUAUGUUCCCAUAUGGCACGAUUGACUGAUUGAUUGUUGUUUGAUUGAUUGCCUUGAGAUGAACUGUUGUUUGUUGUUUGAUUGAUUGCCUUGAGAUGGACUGUUGUUUGUUGUUUGAUGAUUGAUUUUCUUGAGAAGGUAAAAACAAUGUAGGCCAGUUGAUUGAUGUUUGUUGCCUUGAGAUGGUACAUGUUUAUAUGGCAUGAUUGAUUACUGUUUGUGUAUGGUUAUUAAGGUUGAUUGCUAUUUGUUGAUUGAUUGAUUGUUGUUUGUUGAUUGAUUGAUUGUUGUUUGUUGAUUGAUUGCUGUUUGUUGAUUGGUAUCUGACUUUGGUAAUGGUAGUUCCUGAUCAUAGGUAACAGACCUAGUGCUAUUCUUUUUUCUGAACCUUUUUUGUGAUUAUUAUGCCUUCACAUUGCACUGCUCCCAGAUCCAUAUCGACAUGCCCACGCUGUUUGAUGAGGAUAAAGAUGUAAGGAACUCAUCCCAAGAAUCUCUCAUGCUCCUUGUAUUAACUUGGUGACUAUAUUUACAUGUUAAAUUAUUAUUUUUGUGAAACUGGAGCUCGUUGCUGUAACCCAUUAUAUGACUUUAUGAGCGUGCACCACUUUCAGGUUAUGAAAAAAUGGGGAAAACAAGAUUGACAUCCUCUCUCUUUUUAUACAAGGAAUACAGAAGAUGUGCGGCAAGCACGGGGAGUUCCUCUCAAAGUUAGGUGAUCUUAGCCAAACUCUUAUUUUUGCCAAAAUUUAGAAUGUAGAGGGUUUGAACCAUUUUGAUGAGAUCCUGGAAGAAGCUGAUGAUAUAAUUCUGUUAAGAGGAAACCUUGGAAUUGAUCUUCCACCUGAAAAGGUGCGGGCUGCUAUCAAAGUUAAGGCUUCGGUCAUCAUUUGCUUCACCUCAUCUGGACGGGCUGCAAGGUGGAAAGAGAAAGAAAAAGAGUAUUUCUUCUUAUAGGAGCUUCACCUCAUCUUGUAGUUUAAUGAAAAUUGAUUCAUACAGUAUGCCAUAUCGAGUAUCUGCAGGCUAAUUGCCAAUUACAGGCCCACCAUGCCAUUCCUCGUCUGAAAACAAAUCAAUUGAAGUGGAGCUUCACA